AGAAAGGCAAACCCUGGGUUUCCGUGUCUAACUUUGACUGUCCGUCUUAUAUGAAUUUUUUUAUAAUUCGUAUUUUUAUUGUUGUUAGAUGAUAAAACAUGAUUAAUAUUUUAUGCGUGACUUGUAUUUUUAAUUUUUUUCAUAUUUUUUUGGAAUAAGACGGACGGUCAAACGUUGGGCACGGAAACUAGGGUUUAUCUUUUU
rnacentral:pre_miRNA from 1 species